ACCAGUACAUCAACAAUGGAAUGCUGGUUUGUUUCGAACCACACCGUAUUUUACUUUCAUUGCGUCAUGUUGAUUGUACGAUGCAACCCAUAGGUGAAUGAGGUGUGUAUGGGGUAUUGUAGAUGCAGAUUUCCAACGUCAUGAAAGCCAGAUAGACAGGCAUGCAAGAUAUGCAUACAAAAAGAUAUAAAGACAUCAUAAACACUAUCUUUACUGUUGCAGAAGUUUGUAAAAAGGUCCAAAAUAAAAGGUUUAAAUGAGGUUUAAAUGAGGAAUGGACAUGGUUCAGCUGUGUUGAUUUCUCUGAAUACUACAGUCACUGACUUGUAUGUAUAGCCUAUGUCUCAAUGUCAGAUGAACAAGAAAGGGGAUUCAUCAUAGUCCCAAGCUGAUGACAUUGAUGCAGUGUGAUGUCUUAUUUAUGUAUUCCUUUUUGUAUUUAUUUUCUCUUUUAGGAAAGUGCCAGCAGUGGUUUCAGCCUUGCAGUGACCGAAUUAUCUUCACUUCCUCAGUCAACUCCUGAGAAAAGCCAACACGGUGCACUGGAGGAACCAUCAGGAUCUAGAGGGCCAUUUGACUCUGCAUUGAAUGUGCUUAUGACAAGCCCCCCCCCCAGACUACAACAACACCAAAAAGGCGUUCGUUAUCUGGGAAGUACUAUGCCUUGGCUCCCACGUGGUCGCAACCAUUGCUUUGUAUCCGUCGAUGGACUUCCCUGCUGUACCACAUCACUGGGGUGCAUCGAUGGGAAGAAGGGAGCAGUGAGCACACCUGUCUCCACCCCCCCUUGUCUGAUGAGGAGCAAGAGAGAGGGAGGCAACAGGCCACAACUAAAGCAGGUGAACUCUGUUGGUCCUUCCCAUAUUCCAGGCAGUCAGGGGAUUGAGUGUCAAAGCCCAUCUACCAGAAGACGACACAGACCUUCAGAAGGACCCUAAUUGAGCGUGCCUUGGAGAUGAGGGAUGAUGCUAGUAUAGCAUACACAGAGCAGUUCAAGAAGCCACGUUGCAAAAGACUGCUUCAGAAUAUUGCUCCAGUCGCCAGACUAGACAAAAACUUUUUAGUGGCUAGACGGACCAGUCGCUUUGGGGGAUUGAGAUCUAAGCCCUAUUAGACCCACUGACUUUUUCUUUGAAUCCAACACCCAAGGGUCUUCGGGGUCACCAUUUCACACUUCUCCAAAAUCAUCUAUAACUCAGAGUUUUGGCCUUGACGCUACAAACCUUGCAACUUCUAGUUUUCAAAUAUAUACUGAGAAUUAUCGCAUUAGAGGUGUUACAGGUCCAUCUAAUUAGUAUUCAACUAGCAGAGAAACAGGGUGACUUUCAAUUACUUUUUUACUCGCUGUAAGAAAACUUU